AACACCCAAAUAACAACAACAAAACACAAACAAAUGAAGAAAGAAGUCCCUCUUGUGUUUCAAAGGCUGUGAAGAUGAUGAUGCUGCACAUAUUCUGUGUCAAGUAAAAAGAGCAUCCAGAGAGUAAUGCAGGAUCAUGCAAACAGGACUUCAUGACCUGUCAGGAAAGUAUGAGCAUUGGGCUCUGCUGAAAUGCCAAUUGUGAAGCUCAUUUAAAGUGAAAAAGAAAUUUGGGGGCAAGGGUAGGGGAGUUAUGAGAGAACAGGGAGAAAGGUACUUAAGAGCCACAAAAAGAAGAGUCUUUAUAUCAACUCUACUGUGAGAAAAUAGUGGGAAAUAAAGCAAGCCUGCAUUUUGUCUCCUCUUCACCAGCCAGGUUGUCUGAAGGAAGUCUCGAAGACAGAGGAAAUUGUUCAAAGGUGCUUUUGUGGAGGACCUUGAUCAGAGUGCACACUGGAUCAGUUUAUUAACACAGAAGUGAAACCAUGUUUGCACUAGAGUCCAUAUCAAAUUCUCACUUAAAUUUCUUGUAUUGUCAAAGGUACUUCAGGAGUUCAUCUCAAGAUGCUUGGUAGACCACGAAAGAUUUCCGUCCAGACUCAAGAAAUUCUUGUCUCUGCAUUUGUUCUCAGAACUGGCUCAGCAGGUGUGUGUAUCUCCCCUUUCAUAAUGAAGGCUUAUGAAAUACCACUGAAGCUCCACGUACCCAGUGAUGCUAUUCUGAUUUCUGGUCUUCACAUACAUAGAAGUCUGAAUCUUCCUGUCUGAGGCAGGAGGAUAAUCAUGUGGCAUCAUCCCAGACACUGAAAUGAAACUCAGACUUGCAACAGCAUCAUCACACUACAUCUGAUAAAUCAAUCACAGGGCUGUUCACAUCUGCCAACACAUCAGCAUUGCUACUUCUGCCCUCAAGCUGAUCACCUGCUCCUGAACUCACAUUUCCCACGUGAUGGUACAGAACAGGCCACUGGUUUACUGACCUCACUUAAUAUUUUAUUAGUGAACAACUAAAUUAUUAAAAUGCACAUAGAAAAGAGGGAAAAAAAAAGGAAACUAUGAUAUAAAUAGAACAAGCUUGCUGAGAGCUAAGCAGUCAUCCAUACCCAGCUUCUAAAUGAUUUAACUCAGUGCUCUAAUUCAUUAGCUUC